GUCCUGGCCUUAAACGAUGGAUGCUUGGUGUCUGGGGUUUUAUAGUCCCGGGUGCCGUAGCUAACGCGUUAAGCAUCCCGCCUGGGGAGUACGGUCGCAAGACUGAAACUCAAAGGAAUUGACGGGGACCCGCACAAGCGGUGGAGCAUGUGGUUCAAUUCGACGCAACGCGAAGAACCUUACCAGGGCUAGAAUGCCUCUGACAACCCUAGAGAUAGGGCCUCUUAGGGAAACCUAGGCAGAGUGCAAGGUGCUGCAUGGCUGUCGU
rnacentral:rRNA from 1 species